GUCAGCACCCCGCACUCUCUGUGACGGGGCUAUGGGCGGAGCGCAGGCUUCGCACCUAGUGCCUCACCAGAGCGUGAUAGUUGACCAGCCUAAGUCUUAAUUGACUACGUUUUUUGAGUCAUGACACCCUGUGGAUGCGUAGCUAGUCCCAGGCUCUGUCGUUAGUGGUUAAACAUCUUUAUCGGGUUAAGGAAGUGCUGCUAACCUAACAAGCUCUUAAAAUCUUGGCGAAGCUAACUUUAC
rfam:Planktothrix serta PCC 8927 isolate BBR_PRJEB10992 genome assembly, scaffold: BBR_A_PL8927_scaffold13